rnacentral:rRNA from 1 species
UACGAAGGUGGCCAGCGUUGUUCGGUAUCACUGGGCUUAAAGAGUGUGUAGGCGGAAAGGUAAGCGUUUUGUGAAAUCCCCCGGCUUAACCGGGGAAUUGCUUGACGAACUGCCUUUCUUGAGGCAAGUAGGGGUGCGUGGAACUCUUGGUGGAGCGGUGGAAUGCGUAGAUAUCAAGAGGAACGCCGAUGGUGUAAACAGCGCACUGGACUUGCUCUGACGCUGAGACACGAAAGCGUGGGGAGCGAACGGGAUUAGAUACCCGCGUA